GCCGAAAUAGCGCAGUUGGGAGAGCGUUAAACUGAAGAUCUAAAGGUCCCUGGUUCAAUCCCGGGUUUCGGCA
rnacentral:tRNA from 1 species